rnacentral:sRNA from 1 species
UUAUUGAUUUUUGGCGAAACCAUUUGAUCAUAUGACAAGAUGUGUAUCUA